CAGGUCUGUUUGAUUUAUAGGAGAAGGAAAAUCAUUAUCACCAUUUACAGCCAAAAAAAGUCUUCGAACAACUCCUAAGCAAAGCGUAUCUAAAAUAAAGCUCUAUCUUGAAAUUUCCAGCAUAUUGCAGCAAUUUGCUGCCGAGUAAAACUCAGUCUUCUGCAGAAAAGAGAAUGCUCUGUGGAGAUCUAACUUAUCUGGGAACUUGCUAAGUUUAACUGGAGUCCCUCAAGAAAAUUACCAGGACUUUGGAACAAACACCAGAUCCCUGCAGGAGGAAAGAUGCUGCCUGACCCACUGAGUUCCUCCAGCAGUUUGUUUUUGUGCUCUGAAAUAAUCCAGUCAUUUUCCAUUUCUAUAUUGAGACCUCCACAGCAUGAAACACAGGUAAAACCUGUAGAAUGUUUUGGAAAAU